rnacentral:rRNA from 1 species
GACGUAGGGCGCGAGCGUUGUCCGGAUUUAUUGGGCGUAAAGAGCUCGUAGGCGGCUCAGCAAGUCAGGUGUGAAACCUCCAGGCUUAACCUGGAGACGCCACCUGAUACUGCUGUGGCUGGAGUCCGGUAGGGGAGCAGGGAAUAUCCGGUGUAGCGGUGAAAUGCGUAGAUAUGUGGAGGAACACCGAUGGCGAAGGCAGCCCCCUGGGUUAACACUGACGCUCAUGCACGAAAGCGUGGGGAGCAAACAGG